rnacentral:rRNA from 1 species
AACGAACGCUGGCGGCAUGCCUAACACAUGCAAGUCGAACGGGAUCUUGACUUCGGUCAGGUGAGAGUGGCGGACGGGUGAGUAACACGUGGGAACCUGCCUUUUGGUUCGGGAUAACCGCGGGAAACUGCGGCUAAUACCGGAUACUCCCGAGAGGGGAAAGAUUUAUCGCCAGAAGAGGGGCCCGCGUCCGAUUAGGUAGUUGGUGGGGUAAUGGCCUACCAAGCCGACGAUCGGUAGCUGGUCUGAGAGGAUGAUCAGCCACACUGGGACUGAGAUACGGCCCAGACUCCUACGGGAGGCAGCAGUGGGGAAUUUUGGACAAUGGGGGCAACCCUGAUCCAGCAAUGCCGCGUGAGUGAUGAAGGCCUUAGGGUUGUAAAGCUCUUUUGCCAGGGAAGAUGAUGACUGUACCUGGAGAAUAAGCCCCGGCUAACUUCGUGCCAGCAGCCGCGGUAAU